rnacentral:rRNA from 1 species
CCUACGGGAGGCAGCAGUCGAGAAUCAUUCACAAUGGGGGAAACCCUGAUGGUGCGACGCCGCGUGGGGGAAUGAAGGUCUUCGGAUUGUAAACCCCUGUCAUGUGGGAGCAAAUUAAAAAGAUAGUACCACAAGAGGAAGAGACGGCUAACUCUGUGCCCGCAGCCGCGGUAAUCCAGAGGUCUCAAGCGUUGUUCGGAAUCACUGGGCGUAAAGCGUGCGUAGGCUGUUUCGUAAGUCGUGUGUGAAAGGCGCGGGCUCAACCCGCGGACGGCACAUGAUACUGCGAGACUAGAGUAAUGGAGGGGGAACCGGAAUUCUCGGUGUAGCAGUGAAAUGCGUAGAUAUCGAGAGGAACACUCGUGGCGAAGGCGGGUUCCUGGACAUUAACUGACGCUGAGGCACGAAGGCCAGGGGAGCGAAAGGGAUUAGAUACCCUGGUAGUC